UUUCCGUAGGUGAACCUGCGGAAGGAUCAUUAUUGUAUAACCAAGGUCCGAGGGCUUUCGCUGAUCCGAAAGGUUUUGCACGCCCGAUUGCCCCCACCCACAUCCAUCUCACCCCUAUGUGCACCACCGCGCGGAUGCCCCUUUGGCUUGUUCGUCGGGGGCCUCACGUUUUCGCUCAAACUUUGUAUGCAGACUAUCAAGUAUUUUUUGUUUUUGCGUUCACUCAAUCAAUAAAACUUUCAACAACGGAUCUCUUGGCUCUC
rnacentral:misc_RNA from 1 species